CAGUGGGAUCCUGCAGGGGGCAGCGGUAACACAGGGCCAAGCUCGUUAAUAUCAGGCUACAGUUGCCGCCUUAGCAGGAUGAACUGGUCAAAGGUCGUUCUGGGACGGUAGCGGAGCACCGUGGACCUCACUGCUGGGGUUUGGGUUCUAACGGCAGCAGUGCCACGUGCCGCAGCACAGGUCACGCGGCUCGGACCCCUGACAGGGGAGAUGGCCUCUGGCAAUGAGCCGUUAGCAGCUCGCCCAGGAACUGUACAAACGUUUGCCUAAACAAGUCCGAAUCCAGACUGGGCAAGCUAUUCUGGGCGUUGGAAAAUCUCGUCACGUGCGCGUUUCGUUGGUCCUGGGAUUACUUAUGCAGGGAACAGCUACUGGGAAGCUGGGAGGUAUGCGCGGUCCCAGGACCGGGGCUGGAGGACUUCCUGAAGAUGGGGAUGAGCACAAGGCUGCGCGGUAAUGGGCAGUACAGUCGGACCCUCUCGGAAAGGAGAGGGAGCUCUGCAACUCCGUUUGUGAUGGCUGAAGAAGGGGACUGGAAGACAGAAUCCUUCUCACACUGCAGAAAAGCUGUACCAGGUAUUCGUGGUUCUUGAUUGCUUGACUCGGUCGUGCUGGAUGUUGGGACAACGCGUAAAUCUGGAGAAUCCGAAAGGGUCCCCGAGGAACACGGAAGACCGCUUCAGUGGAAUGGGGCCGGAGACUGGGGAGAGCUGGAGCUCCUCCGCGUGAAGUAACCCUGCCUGCGCGUGCUCGGCGGCAAGCCGACUGAAGCGUUUCUUCACACGACAGGGAAAUUUUCAGGGAAGAGAAUUCUGACUAUUUUCCUAUCGCUCCUAUUUCCUAUUACUUCAUGCCAACGUUAUCGGUUAGUUCGGCUAACCUUGUGUUGUUUUGCCAGUUAUUCUGAGACGGAGCUGAGGUGUUGUUCUGUGGCGACAUUCGCUGGUUAGCGCAGGGCCGGAGGCUUACGGGUGGAGAUGAGCGAGUGUGUAUAAUGCUCGCUGCUGCAAGUGCAUUAGACCAGUGACAACAUGCAAACCCUCUAAAACAUGUGUCUCUCCCUCCAAAAAUGUAUAUAAAAUAUAUUAAAAUUACAUGCAUAAAAUUAAUCAAAAAUAAAUAAAAUUACCUUUACAGCCAAUCCUUAUGAUGCAGGUCUGAACGGGUGUAGGUGUGUGUUGGACAAAAACGAUAAACAGGGAUUCUAUUUCUACUAUAUUAUUAUAUAUUAUUUCAGCAUGUGGUAAUGGCAAUAUGUUUCGCAAUAUAUUAAAUCACUUGCGGUGAACCCUUACUGCAAUAUAAUUAAAAGCUGACCUGCAUUAAUUAUGUUA